GACGAACGCUGGCGGCGUGCUUAACACAUGCAAGUCGAACGAGAAUCUGCGGAAAGAGGAUUCGUCCAAUUGAAGCAGAGGACAGUGGCGGACGGGUGAGUAACGCGUGAGGAACCUGCCUUUCAGUGGGGGACAACAGUUGGAAACGACUGCUAAUACCGCAUAACACUUUUUGGGGACAUCCCUGAAAAGUCAAAGCUUUAUGUGCUGAAAGAUGGCCUCGCGUCUGAUUAGCUAGUUGGCGGGGUAACGGCCCACCAAGGCGACGAUCAGUAGCCGGUCUGAGAGGAUGAACGGCCACAUUGGGACUGAGAUACGGCCCAGACUCCUACGGGAGGCAGCAGUGGGGAAUUUUGCGCAAUGGGGGCAACCCUGACGCAGCAACGCCGCGUGCGGGAUGACGGCCUUCGGGUUGUAAACCGCUUUCAGUGGGAAAGAUUAUGACGGUACCCACAGAAGAAGCUCCGGCUAACUACGUG
rnacentral:rRNA from 1 species